GACGAACGCUGGCGGCGUGCCUAAUACAUGCAAGUCGAGCGGACUUGUAGGAGCUUGCUCCUGCAAGUUAGCGGCGGACGGGUGAGUAACAAGUGGGCAACCUGCCUGUAAGACUGGGAUAACUUCGGGAAACCGGAGCUAAUACCGGAUGACACUAAGGAACUACUGUUCCUUAGUUGAAAGAUGGCUUCGGCUAUCACUUACAGAUGGGCCCGCGGCGCAUUAGCUAGUUGGGGAGGUAACGGCUCACCAAGGCGACGAUGCGUAGCCGACCUGAGAGGGUGAUCGGCCACACUGGGACUGAGACACGGCCCAGACUCCUACGGUAGGCAGCAGUAGGGAAUCUUCCGCAAUGGACGAAAGUCUGACGGAGCAACGCCGCGUGAGCGAUGAAGGCCUUCGGGUCGUAAAGCUCUGUUGUUAGGGAAGAACAAGUGCUAGUUAAAUAAGCUGGCACCUUGACGGUACCUAACCAGAAAGCCACGGCUAACUACGUGCCAGCCGCCGCGGUAAUAC
rnacentral:rRNA from 1 species